rnacentral:misc_RNA from 1 species
UCCUCCUUACAGAGGCGGUUUUGUCCGAGUUCCCGACAUUACUCGCUGGCAACAGACAAUGAGGGUUGCGCUCGUUGCGGGACUUAACCCAACAUUUCACAACACGAGCUGACGACAGCCAUGCACCACCUGUGAAUCACCCUCGAAGGCGACUACUUUUCGGUAGCUUGCAGAUCCAUGUCAAGCCCUGGUAAGGUUCUUCGCGUUGCAUCGAAUUAAGCCACAUGCUCCACCGCUUGUGCGGGCCCCCGCCAAUUCCUUUGAGUUUCAACCUUGCGGCCGUAGUCCCCAGGCGGUUCACUUAAUGCGUUAGCUGCGGCACCGAGGAUUACUCCCCAACACCUAGUGAACAUCGUUUAGGGCCGAGACUAC